GAGCAUUGUACGAUCACACACACACACACACUACUAUGUUUUGUGUCACUCAUCUCAUCCGCCACUGAUUUCUUGGAACGAUCAGAUCAGAUGAGAUCAGAUGGGCGCAGUCCUCGGGUUCCUGGACUUGUUGACGAGGAACAGCUUCUUGAGGAGCCUGAGCAUCAGCAUGAGGCUCCACUUCCGGCGCCGGACCACCCUGCCGUCCUGUGGGUGGUGGGGAUGUUUGCCCUUGCAGUGCUUCUCCAGAUCGACGACGACCAUCUUGUCGUCGUCGUCGAGGUCGAGCCAGCUCAUCGCCAACCGUUCCUUGUUGAUCACAGGGCUCAGCGGGCACAGCGGCGGCACGCUGGCGAGCUCCUCGUUGAAGUCCUCCCACAGCAUGUCCAUCUUCUCCUCCUCCUCCUCCUCCUCUUCUUCCUCCUCCCCAGCAACGGUGGCGAGGAACCACCGCGAGGGGGAGCCGCCGAGGCCGAGCUGGUGCGGGGGGAACGCUGAUGGAACGAGCUGGCCUCCUGCGUGAAGAGUGGGGAAAGUGAAGUCAUCAUCCAUGCCUGAUGCGAGCCUGCAAAUGUUUCAGGUGUAGGAGCAUGUGUGUGUGUGUGUGUGUGGUGUUGAUGUAUGUCUCUACUACCGCUACUCCUUUAGCCCCUUAGUAUCUCUCUAUAUAUGUGUGUAAUUCUACAUAUGUGGAACACUUGGUCUGUACUGCUGCCAUGGAUGGUGCAACAUCCUCAUCUACCUACCUG
rnacentral:misc_RNA from 1 species